rnacentral:lncRNA from 1 species
GGCCUGGACACAAGGGCGGCGGGGUGACAUUCAUUUUCAUGAGUUAAGUUUCAAACACAAGCGAGUACUGUUGCGAAGUCAUGUGCUGCUUGUUGUCAGUGGAAUACGUAUUAGCUGAGAUAACCCAUGCCUGUUUCGCGGGGCGUCGGUCCACCACAUGGGCGUUUCCCUGUAUGAGGCUUCCUUCUGUCUACAGUUCUCUGAGGAUGACCUUCAGAACGAAAAUCUGCCUGACAAUUGCUCGCUUGCAUACGAACCUGUAUUGCUUCCUGUUGGGAGAUACAGAUCUGUUCAAGUUGAGCAACUCGACCUUCGACACCUCCUGGGGCAGCAUCCUUCUUCUCUGUGGCCACGUCUCGUGAUUUGGUUUGUGUAGAGUCGUCCAGAUUCUUCGUCAGUCCGGGGAUCGCUGAUCUGUUUCUGUUCACCGGUGUGCAAUGGAGAGACCUGAAAUCAUCCGCGAUACGUUGACUAUCGCAGAAGCGACCAGGCGAGAAAUUGCAGCGGGGGACCGUAGUUGGAUUGGGGAUGUCAGCGCAGCUACUGCUUCUUCUCCUGAUGCCCAGCUUCCCGUCAGUACCCUCAGGCAGUCUCCUCCCUCCGUCACAGCCCCGAUGCGUGUGAAUUACAACCUCCCGACACUGCCGUUGCAGAGCGUGUGCGUCGACCAGCAGAGUCUCCGUCCCUCAUGCGGCGGAUUGUUUGCCAGUCUCCUUCCUGUGGAGAACGGGCUUUCGGUGCCAGACCCCCGUCAGCCGGAAGAUGCCCCCGCAAGGCAGGACUCGUAGAUUGCUCGAACUGAGGACGAAAGCCUACCCAGACACCAGCACGGUGCACGCAGUACGUGGAGCAACGGUAGUUUGCAGGUUCGUUGCUAGGUUUUUUCUUCUCGUCAGGUGGGUGGUUUGAAUGCGAGUGAUAAACGGCAAAUCGAGACAGCGUUUGGACUGCACAUCCGUGAUAUGUCACAAAACUCUCGCUGUUCUACGGGGCAGAAAUAGGCACGCGCUGUCCAUUUCUCGAAGUCCGUCACCUCACUGUCCACGUCGCAAGGGACGUGCUGCACCGUUGAAACCGGACACACGCUCAGAAGCGCUCCUACAUGUUCCUCAUAUCCUUCCAGUCGCUGUGUG